rnacentral:rRNA from 1 species
AGAUUAGAGUUUGAUCAUGGCUCAGAUUGAACGCUGGCGGCAGGCCUAACACAUGCAAGUCGAACGGUAACAGAACUAGCUUGCUAGUUGCUGACGAGUGGCGGACGGGUGAGUAAUACUUAGGGAUCUGCCUCUGUGUGGGGGAUAACUAUUGGAAACGAUAGCUAAUACCGCAUAACGUCUACGGACCAAAGAGGGCUUCGGCUCUCGCGCAGAGAGGAACCUAAGCGAGAUUAGCUUGUUGGUGAGGUAAAGGCUCACCAAGGCGACGAUCUCUAGCUGUUCUGAGAGGAAGAUCAGCCACACUGGAACUGAGACACGGUCCAGACUCCUACGGGAGGCAGCAGUGGGGAAUAUUGCACAAUGGGGGCAACCCUGAUGCAGCCAUGCCGCGUGUGUGAAGAAGGCCUUCGGGUUGUAAAGCACUUUCAGUUGUGAGGAAAGGUUAGUAGUUAAUACCUGCUAGCUGUGACGUUAACAACAGAAGAAGCACCGGCUAACUCCGUGCCAGCAGCCGCGGUAAUACGGAGGGUGCGAGCGUUAAUCGGAAUUACUGGGCGUAAAGCGCACGCAGGCGGUCUGUUAAGCUAGAUGUGAAAGCCCCGCGCUCAACGUGGGAGGGUCAUUUAGAACUGGCAGACUAGAGUCUUGGAGAGGGGAGUGGAAUUCCAGGUGUAGCGGUGAAAUGCG